CAGGUGGCUGAGACCAGCCGUCCUCUGCUCACAUCCGAGACUGUGAGGCAGAUAACACAGAUGUGGUCAAGGAAGACCAACCCUGUGUUAUGCAUACAACAAACUCAUAUGCCUGUCAUCACUGUUAGCAUUCUAAGCUCCGCCCCACGGUUACCUGGAGACAGCCAGGUAUGCCUGACUCACUAUAAAAGGCGCUGCUUGUCCCCCCUCCUCUCUCUUGCUCUCUUGUUCUCUCACCCGCUUUGUUCCUUCUCUCCCCAUUCCCCCCUUCUCUCCAUGUGUUUAUGACUCGUUCCCCCCCUUCCUUUCUCUGCCCCUACCACCCUCUUAACUCCCCUUCCCAUGCCCUGAAUAAACUCUAUUCUAUACUAUACCAUGGUGUGGCUGGUCCCUCAGGGGGAAGGGAAGCCUCAGCAUGGGCGCACAGAGGCACCCCCUUCCCCCGCAGGUGUCACCACACCUCCAUAGAACAUAUCCCCCUCCCUUUAUCUUUUUAUAAACAUAUCAAUCACCCUCGAAAUUACUCAGACUGCCCAAGAAAGUGAGCCUUGUAUGUCCCUAAAAUUACAUUUCAAACGUCUUUCUAUGGUAGCGCACAGCCACGCAACUGGGCCACUAUUGGCCCUUCUGGAGCUCCCAGGGAGCACUGGCCACUACGGAAGAGGAAGAGACACUAACCUUCCUGUGUGGCCAACUCUUCUUAGCCCAAGGCAGUCACCAACCCUACUUAGAGGUAAGGAAAUAAUGCUCAGUGAGGCCACACAAAGGCAGCGGAGGGGACCAGUGGGAAGCUGUGUCUCCCAGCUUUCUCUCACUCUAACAGGCUCAGAAGAAGAUCCUGGAGGGCUCAGCAAAGCCUGGCUCACACAGAGCCAGGGCUUCCCUCCAGAUAGCGGAAAUACCAUGUGGGCUGUGCGGUUGACUUGCAGCCUAGGGAGCCCCGGGAAGACGGGACCCCUGUUAGCAGAGAAGUGAGAAAUUCUGCAGAAGUGUCUGCCCCACAUCCACAGAUGAUCCUUGAGAAUUCAGAGUAAGCUUUACCUCAGAGAAACCGCUUAUGUUUUAUAGCCAAUAUCUGUUUCCUGUGUUUGAAACAAGCCCCCAAGAAGGCCAGUCAGUCUGCAGGCCAUGUGUGGAGGGUGGUCCCUGAAAGUCCUGGUUCCCACCUGGGGCCAGCGCACACACAGGCACGGAAGCAAUCUCCCCAACACGAAAGACUGAUCCACUGAUCCAUCAAGGUUUCAUGAAUGAGAGGUGCUGCCCCUAUGGUCCAAGAAUAAUUCUCUUGCAGCUGAGAGGCCAGAGCAGCACAGCCUCGACUCUGUCUCCCAAAAUAAGGGAGAAAAUGAGACCAGACCUGGAGCAGCUCAGCCUUACGUAAGGCUCCCAUCCCUCUUUUAGCUGCAACAGCAGAUUUUUUUAAAGCACCAUAAAUAGCUCCCUCUCUCUCCUUCAGGGAGGCCGUCCAGCCACAGAGCCUGAGGCGGCCAGCUUCUCCUCUUUCUUCUGCAGUGGAACCUUCACAAGCCUUCCAACACAGAGCAAGAGCAUGCUGGGACAACAAAAAGAACCACCCUACGUGGAAAACAGCUUUCUCAAGUGAGCGCGCGCGCAAGGAAACUAUGUUUUUUUCACACCCAAAAGCUAAAGGCAAACAGUACAAAACUUUGCUAAAGCAGAUUCAAUGACAGAAGUUACCAGAAAAAAUAUACAGGCUGGCAAGAUGGCUCAGCUCACCGAGGUCCUGCGGGAGAGCCUCAUGACCUGGGUUCGAUCUCAAGAGUUGGUCUCUGAGCUCCACACGUGUUAUGUGCUCCUGCAUACUGCCUCCCCCCAUAUAUAUAUGCACACACAAGAAAAUAAAUAAAUGAAUAAAUAUGUUUAAGUUAUCAGGAAAAUAGCAAUAACAGUCAAAACUGUCACCCUGGCAUUUUUUCAUUCCUAACUAACCUGUGCUGCUUACUUCAGUGACGUUCAGGAGCUUUUAUAUCAAAAGCAAUCCCACAGGGAUAGAGAGAUAGCUCAUCAGUUAAGAGCACCAGCUGCUCUUCCAGAGAAGCCACAUGUGAUGGUUUAUAUAUGUUCGGCCCAGGGAGUGGUACUAUUAGAAGGUGUGGCCCUGUUGGAGUAGUUGUGGCCUUGUUGGAGUAGCUGUGUCACUGUGGGUGUGGGCUUUAAGACCCUCACCCUAGCUGCCUGGAAGCCAGUCUUCUGCUAGCAGCCUUCAGAUGAAGAUGUAGAACUCUUAGCUCCUCCUGUACCAUUCCUGCCUAGGUGCUGCCAUGUUCCCACCUUGAUGAUAAUGGACUGGGACUCUGACCUGUAAGCCAGCCUCAAUUAAAUGUCCUUAGAAGAGUUGCCUUGGUCAUAGUGUCUGUUCACAGCAAUAAAACCCUAACUAAGACACCAGCAUCCACAUGGUGACCCAGUAACUCCUGUAACUCCAUUGUAACUCCAGUCCCAGAGGAUCUGAUUCCCUCUUCUGGUCUCCAAGGUUAUCGCACCACACACACACACACACACACACACACACACACACACUACACACACACACACACAUACACUUCACACACACACACUCCACCACACACACACACACUACACCACAUGCACACACACACUUCACACACACACUACACCACACACACACAUACACACACUUCACACACACACUUCACACGUACACACACUACACCACAUACACCACACACACAACACUCAUAUACAUAAAAUAAAUCAGACAUUUUAAAAGUAAUUUUGCAGCUAGUUAUUUUCUAAGGAAAAGCAGAACCUCACAUCGAGCCCUAACUUUCCUCGUAGCAUGUGUGUACAUUUAAGAGAAGGAAACAUAGCAUCUAUUACAGAUUUCAAUUAAAUAAGACACAGUCAGUCCACACAAUACAACGUGUCCCUCUCAUCCAUGUGCCUUCUGAUGGCAACACCGAGAAACUGGGUCACCAAGAACAGAUGUCAAGCACAGGCUCAGUGUGAAAACGCAGCUCACAAACCAGCAUGGGGCAUGGUGUGUCUGUCUACAUUAGCAGGAGACACAGAACUUCACCACACACACACAGUCAGGUCAGAGCAUCUCUCGACCCUCACCUGCUGUGCUUCUAUCUGCCACAGGCAGUGAUUAACACAGUGAGAUACAACUACCCGGAGAAUAAGAGACUGUCGAGAGCUCAGCCCUAAGGGAACAUGUAUAUGACACACAUUCCCCAGCGCCCAAGGCUCAGGGUCGCUGCAGAAGAAGGAGCUGGAAAAAUAUGGCAGCCGAAGGCAGUGUUGGCUACAAGUCAGUCUCUGGCUGUGGCAGGCAGAUGUGCACUCGAGCUGGCCGCAGUGGAAGCAUCGUGUACAAACCUAUACAAGUCCAAGCCGGACAAUAUCCCAGCACAGAGAGGGGAGUCGGGCACACAAGCCCCUAGCCAUGGAGCUGUCGGCAACUGUUAGCUCUGGGAGUUGGGGAGGCAGCUUUCUCUAAUUCUGUAGCUGUUGGCUAUGUGCCAGCGGAAGGCCACACACAUCAGCAGGUUGGGUGGCACAAAGUAAUCUUGAAGUUUUCUUUUAAAAAAGAACAUAGAGUUGGGUGGGCUGGGAAGGGGUGAUGGAUCUGGAGAGAGUUGAGGGGGAGAUCAAUACAAUCAAAACAGGUUGCAUGACACUCUCAAAGAACGAUUAACAAGUAAGACCUAGAAACCUAGACCAGUGUAACUCACCAUCUGCCAGGCACAAUUAUGUCACCACUAUCCCCGCCCACAGAGCCACACCCACGGCCUCUGUGACCCCCUCCUUAUUAGGGCCUUGGUAGGCUUCCAAUCCCACACUCCAGCCCUCUCCUCUCUCUUGCUGAGUCACAUGUCUACCCCACCCACGCCAUCCCUGGCCAUGAGCAGGGCUCCUCUCCACCGGCACUGGACCACACACUAAUUUCCCAAGGCGCUUCCGCUCACCCCUGACCGCUGAUCCCAAGGAAGCCACUGAACCCUGGUUCCUCUCCAUAAAGCAAGGAGCAACGAAGCCAAACAGCAGGGGGUGCUACGAGGAAUAAGUGAGAUAAGUAUACAGUAGGUGCUCCAUAAGUGACAGUUCUGCAGCUAACCCAGAGAUAAAAUCCUCUCGAAGGUUUUAAAAGGUUCGCUUCCACUGUUUUAGGUCACCAUUGGGCCCUCGGUGCUUAGAACACAGUAAACUCAAUGUUUAUACAACAACUUCAAUGAUUCAUCUUUAUGCCUGCCCCUGUUGAAAAAAAAAAAGCCACCCCAGCCUCCCAGUCCAAGUGUGACAGGUCAAUUACAAUUCCAGCAAUCAAUGGUGCAUGCAUUGUCACAGCAGGAAAUGUCGGAGGGGCUUCCUGAGUGACUGUCAGGCAAGCGCCCUCCACACUCAAUACUUCACAGAAUUCCACAUAAUUUAAGGCUAAAAAUGGGAGGAACAGAAGGUUUCCCACAUAGCUACCCAAAGGAGUGUGUUUUAAAACUUGUAUUUAUUAGCACAUUGGCCCCCAAUGUGCCUGAACUACAGUGGAAUCCCAGCCUGGUGUUUUUCAAAACAGAUUCCACAGCUAUGGAAACACAAGCUACACUCUGCUAUGACUUCAGUGUCGGAUACACUGAGAGGAAGCAACCCAGCACGGCUACACCACCUCCCCACAGACAGUGCACACCCAGUAAAAUACCUCACCAUUCUGCACACAGACCUCUCUGAUUAUGCGCAAACCACUACACAAAAGUCCCCCUGGUGGGUAUGGGGGUAAUUAUCUCCCUAACUUACUGGCUCUAAAUGAAGCCCCAGGGAGGCCAGUGGGCCUUCUUUGGAUUACAGGAACAGAUUCUGGCAAAUGGCAAAGGAAGAACAUUCUAGAGCCCCAUUCAAAGGGCAUCUUGGAAGAAGGGGAGCCAAUAGCUUAGGAUUUUUCAGCCACUUUCAGUAUUUAAUCUAAAGCAGAACUUGA